rnacentral:rRNA from 1 species
GAUGAACGCUGGCGGCGUGCCUAAUACAUGCAAGUCGAGCGAACAGAUAAGGAGCUUGCUCCUUUGAAGUUAGCGGCGGACGGGUGAGUAACACGUGGGUAACCUACCUAUAAGACUGGGAUAACUUCGGGAAACCGGAGCUAAUACCGGAUAACAUUUAGAACCGCAUGGUUCUAAAGUGAAAGAUGGUUUUGCUAUCACUUAUAGAUGGACCCGCGCCGUAUUAGCUAGUUGGUAAGGUAACGGCUUACCAAGGCGACGAUACGUAGCCGACCUGAGAGGGUGAUCGGCCACACUGGGACUGAGACACGGUCCAGACUCCUACGGGAGGCAGCAGUAGGGAAUCUUCCGCAAUGGGCGAAAGCCUGACGGAGCAACGCCGCGUGAGUGAUGAAGGGUUUCGGCUCGUAAAACUCUGUUAUUAGGGAAGAACAAAUGUGUAAGUAACUGUGCACAUCUUGACGGUACCUAAUCAGAAAGCCACGGCUAACUACGUG